rnacentral:rRNA from 1 species
UGCCGCCCUGAAGGGCGUAUGGUGGAUGCCUUGGCAGACAGUACCGAUGAAGGACGUUUGAGGAUGCGAUAAGCCUCGGGGAGCCUCCAACAUGGCUUCGAUCCGAGGAUUUCCGAAUGGGGCAACCCGCCGGCCGUCAUGGGCCGGCACGGAACCUUGUUGUUCCGGGGGUACGCAGGGAAGUGAAACAUCUCAGUACCUGCAGGAAGGGAUACUCCGUGAGUAGUGGCGAGCGAAAGCGGAUCAGACCAAACCAUGGGCGCGUGAUACCCGUCGGGGGUUGCGUCCGUGGUGUUGCGGGAGCGUGUGUCCCGGUUCCGACGGACCGGGCGGGAGUCAUAAAACGGCUUGCCAGGGGAACAGGCUUGAAGGCCUGGCCGCAGAGGGUGCCAGCCCCGUACCUGGAAGCUUGCCGUCUUCCGAUCAUGUGUCCCAAGUAGCGCGGGCCUCGUGGAAUCCCGUGUGAAUCGGCCCCGACCGUGGGGUAAGUCUAAGCAUACCUGUCUGACCGAUAGCGUACCAGUACCGUGAGGGAAAGGUGAAAAGCACCCCGGGAGGGGAGUGAAAGAGUUCCUGAAACCGUGCGCCUACAAUCCGUCGGAGCCUCCCUGGUGGGGUGACGGCGUGCCUAUCGAAAAAUGAGUCUGCGAGUCAGUGGUGCGUGGCGAGGCUAACCCGUCGUGGGGGAGCCGUAGCGAAGGCGAGUCUCAAAAGGCGUUUUGAGUCGCGUGCCCUGGACCCGAAGCGGGAUGAUCUAGCCCUGGGCAGGUUGAAGCGCGGGUAAGACCGCGUGGAGGACCGAACCCACCUGGGUUGAAAACCGGGGGGAUGACCUGGGGCUAGGGGUGAAAGGCCAAUCAAAUUCCGUGAUAGCUGGUUCUCUCCGAAAUGCAUUUAGGUGCAGCGUCGGUUGAUUGCAUCGCGGGGGUAGAGCUACUGGAUGCUUGCGGGCCCGUAUGGGGUACCAACAGCAGCCAAACUCCGAAUACCGUUGAUGUGUAUUCCGGCAGUGAGUCGGCGGGGGAUAAGCUCCGUCGUCGAGAGGGAGACAGCCCAGAUCGUCGUCUAAGGUCCCGAAGCGUGUGCUAAGUGGGAAAGGAUGUGGAGUCGCAUAGACAGCCAGGAGGUUGGCUCAGAAGCAGCCAUCCUUGAAAGAGUGCGUAACAGCUCACUGGUCUAGUGGUUCCGCGCCGACAAUGUAGCGGGGCUCAAGCACACCACCGAAGACGCGGCAGCGGCCUUUGUGGCCGCUGGGUAGGAGAGCGUCCCCCGAGGGGCGAAGCGGCGGCGGAAGCCGGCCGUGGACUUCGGGGGAGUGAGAAUGCAGACAUGAGUAGCGAGAGACGGGUGAGGAUCCCGUCCGCUGGAUGACCAAGGGUUCCGGGGCCACGUUCGUCGUCCCCGGGUGAGUCGGGUCCUAAGGCGAGGCCGACAGGCGUAGUCGAAUGGAUGAACGGGUGGAUAUUCCCGUACCGGCAGCGAACCGUCCGAACCGAACGGAUGAGUACUAACCUCCGGUCGCGUGCGUCGUUCCCUUCGGGGUUCGGGGCGCGUGGCUGUUGGGAAUGUAGUCCUGGUAGGUUAGCGCACAGGGGUGACACGGAAUGGGAGCCGGCCGCGGAGGUGGUUUUCCGUGGUCAAGCACGCAGCCCGUCCCAUAGGCAAAUCCGUGGGACAUGCAGGGUGAGGUGCGAUGAUGGGCGUCUUUCAGGCGCGAUAUCCGGUGGUCCAGGCCGUCGAGAAAAGCCUCGGCGCGAGGGGCGUUGCCGCCCGUACCCCAAACCGACACUGGUGGUCAGGUAGAGAAUACCAAGGCGAUCGAGCGAAUCCUGGUCAAGGAACUCGGCAAAUCACUCCCGUGCCUUCGGUAUAAGGGAGACCCCUGAUGGUGAUGGAACUUGCUUCCGGAGCUUUCGGGGGUGGCACAGACCAGGGGGUAGCGACUGUUUACCAAAAACACAGGUGCAUGCGAAGGCGCAAGCCGCUGUAUAUGCACUGACGCCUGCCCGGUGCCGGAAGGUUAAGAGGAUCCGUCAGCCCUCGGGUGAAGCGGUGAAUUCAAGCCCCGGUAAACGGCGGUGGUAACUAUAACCAUCCUAAGGUAGCGAAAUUCCUUGUCGGGUAAGUUCCGACCUGCACGAAUGGCGUAACGACUUCCCCACUGUCUCGACCAGGAGCUCGGCGAAAUUGCAGUACGAGUAAAGAUGCUCGUUAAGCGCAGAAGGACGAAAAGACCCCGGGACCUUUACUAUACCUUGGUAUUGGCGUUAGGCGCGGAUUGUGUAGCAUAGGCGGGAGGCUUCGAAGCGCGGGCGCCAGCCCGGGUGG